rnacentral:rRNA from 1 species
UACGUAGGUGGCGAGCGUUGUCCGGAAUUACUGGGUGUAAAGCGCGUGUAGGCGGGAGGCCAAGUCUGCGGUGAAAUCGCUCGGCUCAACUGGGCGGGGUCCGUGGAAACUGGUCACCUGGAGGACGGUAGAGGCGAGUGGAAUUCCCGGUGUAGUGGUGAAAUGCGUAGAGAUUGGGAAGAACACCAGUGGCGAAGGCGGCUAUCUGGACGGUUUCUGACACUAAGACUCGAAAGCGUGGGGAGCAAACAGG